rnacentral:rRNA from 1 species
UACAGAGGUCCCGAGCGUUGUUCGGAUUCAUUGGGCGUAAAGGGCGUGUAGGCGGCUCGGUAAGUCCGCUGUGAAAGUCGGGGGCUCAACCCUCGAAUGCCGGUGGAUACUGUCGGGCUAGAGUGCGGAAGAGGCGAGUGGAAUUCCUGGUGUAGCGGUGAAAUGCGCAGAUAUCAGGAAGAACACCCGUGGCUAAGGCGGCUCUCUAGUACGGUACUGACGCUGAGACGCGAAAGCGUGGGGAGCGAACAGG